rnacentral:rRNA from 1 species
CCUGGCUCAGGAUGAACGCUGGCGGCGUGCCUAAUACAUGCAAGUAGAACGCUGAAGGAGGAGCUUGCUUCUCUGGAUGAGUUGCGAACGGGUGAGUAACGCCUAGGUAACCUGCCUGGUAGCGGGGGAUAACUUUUGGAAAAGAUAGCUAAUACCGCAUAAUAGUAGUUGUUGCAUGACAACUGUUUGAAAGGUACAAUUGCAUCACUACCAGAUGGACCUGCGUUGUAUUAGCUAGUUGGUGGGGUAACGGCUCACCAAGGCGACGAUACAUAGCCGACCUGAGAGGGUGAUCGGCCACACUGGGACUGAGACACGGCCCAGACUCCUACGG